rnacentral:ribozyme from 11 species
UGCCCAGCAACUCCUAUCCCUACCUCCUCGCGGUACUGGCCGGGGUACGAGGAACUUUGGUCGUAUGCUGACAGGGAAGG